UAGCGGAGGAAAAGAAACCAACAGGGAUUGCCCUAGUAACGGCGAGUGAAGCGGCAACAGCUCAAAUUUGAAAUCUGGCUUCGGCCCGAGUUGUAAUUUGCAGAGGAAGCUUUAGGCGCGGCACCUUCUGAGUCCCCUGGAACGGGGCGCCAUAGAGGGUGAGAGCCCCGUAUAGUUGGAUGCCUAGCCUGUGUAAAGCUCCUUCGACGAGUCGAGUAGUUUGGGAAUGCUGCUCAAAAUGGGAGGUAAAUUUCUUCUAAAGCUAAAUACCGGCCAGAGACCGAUAGCGCACAAGUAGAGUGAUCGAAAGAUGAAAAGCACUUUGAAAAGAGGGUUAAAUAGCACGUGAAAUUGUUGAAAGGGAAGCGCUUGUGACCAGACUUGCGCCGGGCGGAUCAUCCGGUGUUCUCACCGGUGCACUCCGCCCGGCUCAGGCCAGCAUCGGUUCUCGCGGGGGGAUAAAGGUCUCGGGAACGUAGCUCCUCCGGGAGUGUUAUAGCCCGGGGCGUAAUGCCCUCGCGGGGACCGAGGUUCGCGCAUCUGCAAGGAUGCUGCUAGACGGAGU
rnacentral:rRNA from 2 species